GACGAACGCUGGCGGCGUGCUUAACACAUGCAAGUCGAACGAAGUGGCGAACGGGUGAGUAACGCGUAAUCAACCUGCCCUUCAGAGGGGGACAACAGUUGGAAACGACGGCUAAUAACGCAUAAGGCGGGAGGGGAAUUCGUCUGAUUAGCUAGUGGGAGGGGUACCGGCCCACCAAGGCGAUGAUCAGUAGCCGGUCGGAAAGGAUGAACGGCCACAUUGGGACUGAGACAAGGCCCAGCAUCCUACGGGAGGCAGCAGUGGGGAAUCUUCCGAAAUGGACGAAAGUCUGACGGAGCAACGCCGCGUUAGUGAUGACGGCCUUCGGGUUGUAAAGCUCUGUUAAUCGGGACGCGGUACCGGAAUAGAAAGCCACGGCUAACUACGUGCCAGCAGCCGCGGUAAUAC
rnacentral:rRNA from 1 species